UGAGGAAUAUUGGUCAAUGGGCGGGAGCCUGAACCAGCCAAGUCGCGUGAGGGAAGACGGCCCUAUGGGUUGUAAACCUCUUUUGUCAGGGAACAAAAGGCGCCACGCGUGGCGCUCCGAGUGUACCUGAAGAAAAAGCAUCGGCUAACUCCGUGCCAGCAGCCGCGGUAAUACGGAGGAUGCGAGCGUUAUCCGGAUUUAUUGGGUUUAAAGGGUGCGUAGGCGGUCUGUUAAGUCAGCGGUAAAAUUGCGGGGCUCAACCUCGCCGAGCCGUUGAAACUGGUAGACUCGAGUGGGCGAGAAGUACGCGGAAUGCGUGGUGUAGCGGUGAAAUGCAUAGAUAUCACGCAGAACUCCGAUUGCGAAGGCAGCGUACCGGCGCCCAACUGACGCUGAAGCACGAAGGCGUGGGUAUCGAACAGGAUUAGAUACC
rnacentral:rRNA from 1 species